GAUGAACGCUGGCGGCGUGCCUAAUACAUGCAAGUCGAGCGAAUGGAUUAAGAGCUUGCUCUUAUGAAGUUAGCGGCGGACGGGUGAGUAACACGUGGGUAACCUGCCCAUAAGACUGGGAUAACUCCGGGAAACCGGGGCUAAUACCGGAUAACAUUUUGAACCGCAUGGUUCGAAAUUGAAAGGCGGCUUCGACUGUCACUUAUGGAUGGACCCGCGUGGCAUUAGCUAGUUGGUGGGGUAACGGCUCACCAAGGCAACGAUGCGUAGCCGACCUGAGAGGGUGAUCGGCCAAACUGGGACUGAGACACGGCCCAGACUCCUACGGGAGGCAGCAGUAGGGAAUCUUCCGCAAUGGACGAAAGUCUGACGGAGCAACGCCGCGUGAGUGAUGAAGGCUUUCGGGUCGUAAAACUCUGUUGUUAGGGAAGAACAAGUGCUAGUUGAAUAAGCUGGCACCUUGACGGUACCUAACCAGAAAGCCACGGCUAACUACGUGCCAGCCGCCGCCGUAA
rnacentral:rRNA from 1 species